GCAGACACAUUCCAGCCAAUCAGCAGCAGACCCUCCCUCCCAGACCCUUCCACCUCAAGGACAGCUCACUAAGAAUGCAGCUUCAAAAUGGAUGCUGUCCAGGAGGUGGGAGAGUCUGGGAGGGAGGGUCUGCUGCUGAUUGGCUGGAAUGUGUCUG